GCGCGUGUGGAUGAUGGGGCAGGACGUCGGGCGCAUGGGCGGCGUCUUCGGCGUCACGCGCGGGCUGAUGGAGGAGUUCGGCGCGCUGCGCGUGCGC
rnacentral:tRNA from 1 species